rnacentral:rRNA from 1 species
UACGUAGGGUGCAAGCGUUAAUCGGAAUUACUGGGCGUAAAGCGUGCGCAGGCGGUGAUGUAAGACAGAUGUGGAAUCCCCGGGCUUAACCUGGGAACUGCAUUUGUGACUGCAUCGCUGGAGUGCGGCAGAGGGGGAUGGAAUUCCGCGUGUAGCAGUGAAAUGCGUAGAUAUGCGGAGGAACACCGAUGGCGAAGGCAAUCCCCUGGGCCUGCACUGACGCUCAUGCACGAAAGCGUGGGGAGCAAACAGG